UACAGAGGUCCCGAGCGUUGUUCGGAUUCACUGGGCGUAAAGGGUGCGUAGGUGGUGAGGUAAGUUUGAUGUGAAAUCUCCGGGCUCAACCCGGAAAUGGCAUUGAAUACUAUCUUGCUAGAGGAGUGGAGGGGGGACUGGAAUACUUGGUGUAGCAGUGAAAUGCGUAGAUAUCAAGUGGAACACCAGUGGCGAAGGCGAGUCCCUGGACACUUCCUGACACUGAGGCACGAAAGCUAGGGGAACAAACAGG
rnacentral:rRNA from 1 species